rnacentral:rRNA from 1 species
ACGAACGCUGGCGGCAGGCCUAACACAUGCAAGUCGAGCGAGGACUUCGGUCCUAGCGGCGGACGGGUGAGUAACGCGUGGGAACGUGCCCUUUGCUUCGGAAUAGCCCUGGGAAACUGGGAGUAAUACCGGAUGAGCCCUUUGGGGGAAAGAUUUAUCGGCGAAGGAUCGGCCCGCGUUGGAUUAGGUAGUUGGUGGGGUAAUGGCCUACCAAGCCGACGAUCCAUAGCUGGUUUGAGAGGAUGAUCAGCCACACUGGGACUGAGACACGGCCCAGACUCCUACGGGAGGCAGCAGUGGGGAAUCUUAGACAAUGGGGGAAACCCUGAUCUAGCCAUGCCGCGUGAGCGAUGAAGGCCUUAGGGUUGUAAAGCUCUUUCAGCUGGGAAGAUAAGGACGGUACCAGCAGAAGAAGCCCCGGCUAACUCCGU